GCUUAUACACCAUAGGACAACAAUUGACAAGAGUAGAAACUCAACUUCAGACAUUCAAAUCAAGAGAAUACAAGCCUGAUAGAGGAAAAACCUCUAAAACAUCCACAGAAAAAAGGGUUUUAUUUAAACCUGCAGAUCUAGAACAGUCACCUAUUAAACUAGGAGACCAGUCAGAAAUAGUAAGUGAACUAACUAAAAGGUUAGCAGAAUUAGGAUUGGAAGCUAAGGAUUCUAAAAAGAAAACCAUAGCCCCAUUAACUAAAUCUCUAAACAUUCAAGAAGAAUUAGAGCAAAGGUUAAAGACCUUAAGUAUUGCUCCUAUAAAUCAAGGACAAGAAGAAACUGAUUCUGAAAGUUCCUCUAAUGAAGAAGAA
rnacentral:misc_RNA from 1 species